AUUGAACGCUGGCGGCAUGCCUUACACAUGCAAGUCGAACGGCAGCACGGACUUCGGUCUGGUGGCGAGUGGCGAACGGGUGAGUAAUAUAUCGGAACAUACCUUGUAGUGGGGGAUAACUAUCCGAAAGGAUAGCUAAUACCGCAUACGCUCUAAGGAGGAAAGUGGGGGAUCGCAAGACCUCAUGCUAUAGGAGUGGCCGAUAUCUGAUUAGCUAGUUGGUGAGGUAAAGGCUCACCCAGGCGACGACCAGUAGCUGGUCUGAGAGGACGACCAGACACACUGGAACUGAGACACGGUCCAGCCUCCUACUGGAGGCAGCAGUGGGGAAUUUUGGACAAUGGGGGCAACCCUGAUCCAGCAAUGCCGCGUGAGUGAAGAAGGCCUUCGGGUUGUAAAGCUCUUGUGUCAGGGAAGAAACGGUUGUGGCUAAUAUCCAUGGCUAAUGACGGUACCUGAAGAAUAAGCACCGGCUAACUACGUGCCAGCCGCCGCCGUAA
rnacentral:rRNA from 1 species